rnacentral:lncRNA from 1 species
AGAGCUAGGAACGCAGAGAAGAACUUGGAAAAAUUGAGAGAAAAACUGAGAGAAAGAGGAAGGACGAGAAAGAAAAAGGGGCGAAAAAAAAUGAAGGAGAAGGAAGAAGGAAGAUGUAAUGUCUAUUCUUCGAGUAUAAGUUUUCAAUUUCUCCUUCUACUCAAAAGGUAAAUGAAAAUAUUUUAAUAAGUUUUUAGGGUUUACGAACAAUUUGCCUACAUUCGAAGUUUAGCAAGAAUUAGAUGUUAUUGACAUAUAUUUGAGGUAUUAAACAUGAAUAUGUCAAAGAAAUUCAUAUUGAAAGAUGGGCGUUGAAGAAAAGUGAAACUUUGAAAAUGAGUUUAUGAAAUAGAUAGCUAUUCUUUGAUUUUCUUGAGAUUAUAUAAUGUCAAGCAUUUAAAUUAAGGAAUUGGGUUGAUUUCUCCAUUUUUAAGUAAGUAUUAUAAGCAAUUUUUGGACAAAAUCCUACAUAGGUGCUGAUUUUGUAAUUUUGCCCAGAAAAGUGCCAUUUCUGUCAAUUGUUUUGGUGAUAGUUCUCAUUGUACAGAACCUAGUUUUACAGUUCCAUAUUCUGGAAUUUUAGUGUUGUUUUUGUUUAAUCUUUGAUUUUCACAUUUUAAGGACUUGAAUGAAGUCAUAUGACAAAUAUUGAAGUUUAUGUAGUAGACGAAAUUAUGUAUUAGGAUUGUAUGAGGUAUUGAAUUUAAGCAAGUGCAAGUGAUUUAAUGGAUUUGAUAAUGAAUGGUGAUUAGUUGAUAAAUCAUUAGACAGAAGAAAAUUUGGGGAAUUCAUUCAAGUAUCGAGAAAUGGAGAUUCAAGAGAAAAUUUGAAAGUUGAGGAAUUAAGUGGUGACUUUGUAUUAGUUUAAGUGUCAUAUUUCAAUUUGAGUUAUUAUACUGUUAUUUCAGGUAAUGGCGUGGAAGUUUGGAGAUGCUCGUUAAUUUAGCCAGGUUUUUAUCCAUAGAGCAAUGAGCGGAUAUAAAACUCAUUUUUAGAAAUUAAUAAUUAUUAAAUUUAUGUUAGCUUAGAAAAUUUAUUAUUUCAUACAGUUGAUUUGACAACAUGAUGUUUAGAAUAAAGUGGA